AUAAAGUGGCUGAAUUAAAGCGGGGAACUGUAAAUUCUUUUAUAAACUGAUGUUUCUUUAUUAA
rnacentral:tRNA from 1 species